ensembl:processed_transcript si:dkey-4c15.14 si:dkey-4c15.14
UUCAGCGUCGAGUCUUCAGAGCUGAGAUCAGCACAGGGUGAAGAUGUGUGAUCCAGAACCCUGCCGAAUUAAAGAGGAACAGACUGAAGAAAUAAUAGAUGUGAUAGUGAAGGAGGAGAGUGAAGAACUGAGUGAGGAUGAGGAGAAACAUCAGGUCAGUAGUGAAAUCAAAACUCCUAAUAGUUCUUUGAUGAAAAUAAACACCAUAAAAGGUUUCACCUGCACUCAGUGCGGAAAGAGUUUCAGCCAAAAACACUCUCUCAAUGCUCACACGAGGAUCCACACUGGAGAGAAACCGUACCAGUGUUCACUCUGCGGCAAGAGAUUCAGUCGGUCAGGACACCUGACAAGACAUGAGAGGACUCACACUGGAGAGAAACCGUGCCACUGCACUGCUUGUGGGAAGAGUUUCUCGGGUUCAUGUUCGCUACGGAAGCACAUGAAGAACAUUCACAACAAAGCCCCGAAGGUCCGAACACAGGAGAAAACAAACUCAUGCUCUUGGUGC